rfam:Gossypium arboreum cultivar AKA8401 contig_4036_1, whole genome shotgun sequence.
UAUUAAAAAUUUCAUCCAUUUUUACUAUUAAAAACUAGUGUGACUGAUCAGACAACAUGGACCAGUUUUUAAUAGUGGAAAUGGAUAAAACUUUCAACA